UACGUAGGGUGCGAGCGUUGUCCGGAAUUACUGGGCGUAAAGAGCUCGUAGGUGGUUUGUCGCGUUGUUCGUGAAAUCUCACGGCUUAACUGUGAGCGUGCGGGCGAUACGGGCAGACUAGAGUACUGCAGGGGAGACCGGAAUUCCUGGUGUAGCGGUGGAAUGCGCAGAUAUCAGGAGGAACACCGGUGGCGAAGGCGGGUCUCUGGGCAGUAACUGACGCUGAGGAGCGAAAGCGUGGGGAGCGAACAGG
rnacentral:rRNA from 1 species